rnacentral:misc_RNA from 1 species
GAAAAAUUUGAUGUAGUCUACGAUGCAGUCGGUCAGCCUGAUAAAGCUGUUAAGGCGUUGAAAGAAGGCGGGAAUCUUGUGAGCAUCGCUGCACCCGUUCCAGGUUUCCCAGAUGCUUUCUUCCUUCUCACUUCAGAUGCUGUCAUGUUGGAGAAACUAAAUCCUUAUCUGGAAAGUGGGAAGGUGAAACCGAUCAUUGACCCGAAAUCUCCAUUCCCAUUCUCCGACACGCUCGAGGCAUUUGCGUAUCUCGAAACCUCCAGAGCUACUGGAAAAAUUGUGAUUUAUCCCAUCCCUUAGAGGCAAGUUGUUGAUAAGUAGUUUUGUGUCAUAUGUACUGAAGAAUCGUUGUUGUGUUUGG